UACGAAAGUGGCAAGCGUUGUUCGGAUUUACUGGGCGUACAGGGAGCGUAGGCGGUUGGAUAAGCCCUCCGUGAAAUCUCCAGGCUUAACCUGGAAAGUGCAGAGGGGACUGUUCAGCUAGAGGAUGGGAGAGGAGCGCGGAAUUCCCGGUGUAGCGGUGAAAUGCGUAGAGAUCGGGAGGAACACCUGUGGCGAAGGCGGCCGACUGGGCCGGACCCUGACGCUGAGGCGCGAAAGCGUGGGGAGCAAACAGG
rnacentral:rRNA from 1 species